CCACUAGUUUUUUUGUAACAGA
rnacentral:miRNA from 1 species